CACGUGGCCUAGUAGAUGCAUGGCUGAUGAUACUCACAUAGCUGACUGAUACCUGUACAUCAGGUAGUGUCUGGUGCAUAGGCGGACACUCAUCGACGACUUGGCUGGUAUUGUGACGUAGGUUUCGUGCCUCCAGGACUCGUUGCUCACUGUGCAUGCAGUCGAUGCGCCAGAGCGAAAAAAGCCCUUUUUAUUAUCCCGGUCAGCUCAUUUUGUCCAGAGGUGAAGAUGACGAUUCCGUGAAGAAGUAAUGGCUGACGUUGUCGAACAUUCAGACCCACUGGAGGCGUUCCACAGCCUGGAGCCCGCCGAUAAGGAAUUCGAUGCGACUUGACCGGACUUGCACCCACAGCCUUUUGUCAGGCCUGUGACAGGCUGUCUGACUGCUGCAAGAUGUUUGUCAGAGCCCCACACCAUGACUAGGUCAUUGGUUCUUUACAAUCCCUACCUUGAAGAGGUGGGUAGUUGAUAGUAGAAUUUGUUGCUUAAAUUGAGCGAUAAUCAGAGGCAACAAUUCCAGUGUAGCUGAAUUCCACUUGUAGGUUUUACGGCACCGCCAUCCAUGGACUCUUGGUACUACUUCAUACUGAAGUUUCACUGUGUGUGGAACCCGCCUGUCUGUGUGCUAUGGCCGGCCGUUACUCCCCGUUGAGAAAAGAUCCCUGCAAGUGUACUUGACUGGCUGUAUGCGUCUAAUACGUCUGCAAGCACCAACUGAAGUGGGUGCUGCGCAAUGUCAACGAUCGAUGCACGUAAUCAUUACCCACAGCAGUGGUGUCGGUCAGUGGUGUAACUACCUUCCUCAACAAUCACCAGCUGCUGGCUUGUGACAGUUUUGACGAAAAUUAGUCGGUCUCUCUCAUUCCGCUAUCCCUUUUUCGACUCUGAGGAGAUGCUCGACAAGCACAUAAUUUGGUACUUCCCGUACAGCCUAGUAUUUGCAGUAUUUGCUUCCUACACCAGCCACAGUGCUUUUCUUCCCACGUUCUUUUUUCCGCUGGACGGUUUGGGAUUAUCUUUUGUGUUACAUUCUUUCGUUUUCUGUUACAUCCUUUUCCUGUUCUUGUGUGUUAACGUUUCAGUGGAAUGGUGCAAUGCAUUUCCAACCAAUGCAGUCAUUCUGGUUUAAAUUGGAUUGAACUGUACAGGUUUCCAAUGCUUAUGGCAUAUUACUGAUGUAUUCUCAGUCAU